GGGAAUUUUCCGCAAUGGGCGAAAGCCUGACGGAGCAAUCUCGCGUGAGGGAUGACGGCCUAUGGGUUGUAAACCUCUUUUUUCAGGGAGGAAUAAAUGACGUGUACCUGAAGAAUAAGCAUCGGCUAACUCCGUGCCAGCAGCCGCGGUAAGACGGAGGAUGCAAGUGUUAUCCGGAAUCACUGGGCGUAAAGCGUCUGUAGGUGGUCUAGCAAGUCAACUGUUAAAUCUUGAAGCUCAACCUCAAAAUCGCAGUCGAAACUAUUAGACUAGAGUAUAGUAGGGGUAAAGGGAAUUUCCAGUGGAGCGGUGAAAUGCGUAGAGAUUGGAAAGAACACCGAUGGCGAAGGCACUUUACUGGGCUAUUACUGACACUCAGAGACGAAAGCUAGGGUAGCAAAUGGGAUUAGAUACCCCAGUAGUCA
rnacentral:rRNA from 1 species